CGCGGGAGGCGCGGCGUCCGGACCCGCCCCUCGCUGCCUCGCCGCGCCCGGGAGCCGAGUCCGCCCCCCUCUCGCGCUGCCCGCCACGGGAAUCCCGGCCCCUUUCGCGGACUCGCCGCUCUGUUGCGCUGCCUCUCCCUCGGCCCACUGUCUCCUCUCCUUGCGUGUAGAGCUACCUGUACGCAUCUUGACUUUCUCACCUUUCCCGGUGCCCCUUGGUCCUUCAAGGCCGCGUCGUCUGGGGAGUGCCCUUUGCGCAGACGAGGAAACCGAGACGCGCAGCGUCUCAACUGGAGACUCUUCUGACCGCAUCACUUGACCUCCAGCUGGGAGCAGUAAGCGCUGCCUUUAAUGCGGAAGGCCUUCCAGCCCUACUUGUCAGGAAGCAAUAUUUGCAUAUUUAAGGAGAGGAGAACACUAGCCAUGACCGUGACGGUUUCUGGCGUAUCCAGUAUCCAGAUGUAGUCAGGAAGACAGAAGAGCCAAGUUUCCCAGCUCAAGAAGUCCAAGACCACAAUAUGAAUGAACUUCUUCAUCCUCAGAUGUUGAUGAGGGUGGUCCUUUGCGUGCAAGACUUGGCCUCAGCUUGUCCUUGUAAGCACGGGUCUGAUAAGGUCACUCCCUUGCGUCAAGACCUUGGAUGACUGCCAUUGCCUCCUGAAUAAAGUACUUUUAUUCAUUCA